UACGUAGGUGGCGAGCGUUAUCCGGAUUUACUGGGUGUAAAGGGCGUGUAGGCGGCUCUGCAAGUCAGAUGUGAAAUUUCCGGGCUUAACCCGGACGGGUCACCUGAAACUGCAGGACUUGAGUACUGGAGAGGAUAGCGGAAUUCCUAGUGUAGCGGUAAAAUGCGUAGAUAUUAGGAGGAACACCGGUGGCGAAGGCGGCUAUCUGGACAGUAACUGACGCUGAGGCGCGAAAGCGUGGGGAGCAAACAGGAUUAGAUACCCUGGUAGUCCCU
rnacentral:rRNA from 1 species